rnacentral:lncRNA from 1 species
GAAUACACAUACCAAGUGUUCAACAUGCAACUGCUUACAUAGACUGAGAAUACACAUAUACUGCAUACCACACAACCACAACCAUGCAUGAGUGUUGUCAACACCCGGAUCAGUAGCAACCGUCACCAGUCCUCAUUGGCCAUAAAUAAAAUAUAGAAAAAAUUCUGCAUAGUCCACCCAUUGUUGCAUGCACACUUGUCAUUUUUUUUUGCUAAACCAACCCACCAAUUAAUGAUGAGAAUCCUCAUACAGAUGCAUCCCUACAAAUACUAAAUCAAACUUAAACGAAAGGAAGUCACUAACACCAAUUGUCAUGCAACCAGCCAAUAUGAGAAAACAAACACAGGUCAAGAAACCAUUAGUCAGUGGGAAUCAAAUCAAAGCAUAUGCAGUCAUUAAUUGACUCUCAAGAGGACUCGCAUGCAGAUGAAUGAGGCGAGACAAAUAGUAGGUCCUAAGUUAAAAACGUGCAAGAUUAUGAAGUUGUCCUGUCAGUUCAUGUUUACAUAUCCGCAAGAAGUUUUGUGCGUAAGAAAGUUUUCAGUAAGUAGUUUUCAGUAACCUGAAGAGAGUCUUGUGCUUUGAGAGCUUAUCUUCUGAAGGCGAGAAACAAUCACCGAACGCCGUCGCUGCACCAGAGACGGAAGUAAUCCCGCCGUCGAGAGGACAACGAAAGGGGGGCGUCGCCAAACCUGUGCUGAUUGGGAGAACUUGUGCUGGAGAAAUAACGUAUGUAACACAUCGCUGACCAAGACGCUUGAUCUGUAGCCGGCGAGGAAAAAAUAGCAGCUUCACACUGCUUCUAUUUGUGCUUCCACCUUCCCACGUUGGCAUUCUGUAUGGCGAUCGGUGACUUUGCUAGCUCUUGCACUAUUCAUGCUUCCGUAUCAAGCACCGGUUGCAGGUCUGUUCAUUCAGAUCAAGGGCCAGCUAGCAUUUGACUCCCGUAGUCCGCAGGAAAAGGGCGUGGUGGAGAGGGUGACUUGCUGCUGGGAGGAUCUAGCGAGAGCACGAAAGAAGAGGCGCCCGCUCCUGAUGCGUACAUGCUGCCGCUACCUGCGGUGACUGCAAGGAUAGAGAAAAAUUGAAAGAUGAGUAGGAAAGAAGCAGUGCGGGGAAGGGAGCCAUCGACCUUAUUAGCGAGGGAACGCACCAGCGACCGAAGGCGGCGCCGGUUCGUCUUGAUGGCGGCGGCACGCCCGCGCUGGAGGAUCACGACGCUGCGGAGUCGCGCGGGCCCAUGACCUGCGAGCGGCCUAUGAUAGAACCCUAGGCACUCCACGGUGCCGUCGGCGGCGCUUCAUCAGACACCAACAGGGCAGAGCUCACAUUGUGUUCGACGGAAGGGGUGUCAGGAGUGAAGGAGCAGGGAUGAUGGCGCAUCCGAGAUGGAAGACGCACACGGAGUGACGCAUUUUUAUAGGGCCAAACAACGACCAAGCAGUGGAACUGGAUUUCACGGGAUCCUUCCAGAGAGACCAGGCGAAAUAUCUAGCCGGUCUAGAAAAAAACACAACAUAUGUCCAAACUGCUUACCCCAUAAUCUCAUUGACCUAUACGUGUCCAUCAUGGAAAUAAGCAGUCAAUGACCCAUGGACAGACGUGGCCACAUGCAUGGAUCAAGCAGUGGCACGUGGAACAAGAGCAAUCCACACACCUCUAGACUGGACACGUGAAAUCAAAAGUGCAAACCGCACAGUAAAUCAAAGUUUUUUAAAGAAUGGAAGAACCUUCCCGAAGAGUGCAGCACACACCCGUCGAUAAACAAGAGCUCAUAACGUGGCAACGGCAACACCAAACCAAACAUGCCCCACGACCUGACCAAGCAAAAAAUGAGAUCCAUCAAACUCUAGGAAGCCAUCCUGCACACGCGUCACUCAAUCAAUAAUGGUAAAAAAAAUUCCAAAAAAAACAGGUAAAAGGAACCCUUACAGGCCCAGUAUUCUUAGUAUUCCAGAAACUAAGCUAAGAGAACUCUCUCUUGUUACAGCAAGAGGACACAAAGAAAAUCCAAAAUAAAAACCAACUGGGUUGCCUCCCGUAAAGCGCUUUCUUUAUAGCCAUAUAGCUAGGCUUACUUGUUGUUUACCGAGGAUGAAGCUCAUGAGGGAGCUUGAAAGUUGUGCCCUUCAUCCUUGGGAAGUGUUCCAUGCAUUUCGUAUGUGAAAACUGAAACUUCAUAUUCCCUUCCUUUGAAUCAAUAAUAGCUCCUGUCGUACGAAGAAAAGGUCUUCCAAGAAUAAUAGGACUAGAGGUUUUAUUCCCCAUAUCCAUGAUUAGAAAAUCCACAGGCACAAAAGUCAUAUGUAACUCUACCAUAACAUCACUUACUUUUCCUAAAGCAUGUGUAAUGGUACUUAGUCUGGUACAUUUAUUUCAGUCUUUACGUAUUUCUAAGUUUCAAAAAAUUAUGAAACAAAAUCCGGAGGUAGCCAAUGGUAUACCAUACAAACGUGAAAAGGUAAUUUCAAAUAAUUUGUAUUCCGAACUGCACCAAAAUGACAAAAGUGUGGAUCUUGUAUGUAUAUUUUUAAAUCUCUAAAUUUUAAUAGGUUUUAUCAUUUUUGCAUAAAAAAUACAAAGUAUUUGAAAAUGAUAUUUUUCACGUUUGUGGAAUACAUCAACGGCUACAUCCUGGAUUUUUUUUCAGAAUUUUUUGAAACUCGGAAAUACGAUUUUCAAAAAAAUUUAGUGGCAGGAGCACUAGUGCUCAGGAGUCGAAGACACUUUCCGCUCCGUUCGUUCCUAUAUGAUACUAUUUUAAUUGCUUCAUAGGUUGUCUAUAUACAUAUUAAAAUGAGUGAAUAUUUACACCAAAACGUGUUUAGAUAAAUUUGUACCAACAUGCUAAUAUGGAUAAAUGCUAAAAAUAUAUAUAUAUAUAGAGACAGAGUGAGUACUUGUUUGCAAUGCCCAACUUCAUGUGGUCCAAGAUAGGCUGGACAUGAGUGCGUCGAAGAUGAUCUUAUUGUGUUAUUGGCUGACACUCAAAGUGAUGACGCCAACUCAUGUGCUAUUCGUCUUCAUUGCCAUAUAACAUCAUCUGAAGUGUUAUUCUUGCUUGACUCUUGCAGCUCCCAAUUUUAGAGUUAUCCAAUACCAGUUGUGAACCAAAUAAUGCUGAAUGUGUACAUACUUUUCUUCCAUGAAUCCUAUUGAAGUGUUUGGAUCCUCACCUCAACUUAAUGACAAUGCCGGGUGGAGUCCCCAUCCGAUCUUGUUAUUUCUUAAGAUAACCAGUGGAAUUUACUUGAUUUUUAAAGAGGGUCACUAUAUCGAUGGCACCAAGUUUGCCCAACUACCCUAUGCAAAUACACCAUAGGGGUCUUUAUCAGCGGAUUGUACGAAGUUUGGUCGACGAAAAGUUGUGAUGGGAUCCUGACAUCUGGCCACUUGUCGGAUUCUAUGAGCUUUUCAGACAAGCUGCAGCUCAAGGAGGAUCAUGGCUGAAGGUCUGUCCUACUGUUACCACAAUCACAUUGCCACCUUCCUCGACGACGGUCUCUUUAGCUAUGACUACUACAUCAACUACGUGCAAGUCCACCUCGACCACAUCUACGACAUGAGCCAGAUCCCGGUAAAAACAAUCUCAUGUACCAUGGGAUCCCGAUGGCAUCGGCUUGGGCAAGCCAAAUAUUAUGAGGUGAAAGUGUUAGUGAACCCUUCUAUACUAAGCAUGGGCUGGCGGUGGGCCGCCAUAUGAUGGUCUUGGGCCUGCUCAGCAGCCAUGGAGUGAAGGCCACUACAAUUACAAAGAGAUGGAUGACUUGGUUUGAAACAGACUUUUGACAUGGAUAGACGAGGACACCGGCAUUUUUUCUUCCUAUAGCCUUCUCAAUCCUUCAUGGACAAGUUUGCAAUCUCUUUCGUGUUGUAAUCUAAAUCUUGCUCCAACUAAGUGAACUAGUAGGGGUUGCUUACAUACUUCCUCCGUUCCUGAAUAACUGUAUUUUCAAAUUUGUCCUAAGUAAAAAAAUUAUUAGUCCGACCAAUUUCAAAGAAAAUAUAGCAUUAUAAUAACAAAUUAAUAUCACUAGCUAGAUGCAUCUUAGAUUGUAGUUUCAUAAUAUACCAAUUUAGUGCUAGAAUACUGCUAUAUUUUUAAUAACGUUUAUCAAACUAAUUUUUUUACUUAGGACAAAAUUACAAAUAGAUGGGAACAUAGGGAGAAAAGAAUUUGCAAGUUCUGCACAUUUGUUUAUAGAGGAGAUACAUAACGGAUGGAGGCUAUCAAAUAGACGGGAUACAUAACAGAUCUGGUGGGCUCCGGGCAUUUGCAUGGAGGCGAUGACAGUGGAACGGAGGGGCAGCACGAAAUACCGGUUCGAUUCUUCCCGGAGAAGUUCGGGAAACUGCUCCAGACCAGUUUCUCGAAAAUGCACUGCGCGUUGCUUCUGGUGGGCUUCUCGGUGGAAAGAAACUGGACACUUCUUUUAGGCUUAUGUUGUUUGGUAGCUAGAAGCCAUCUCAUAAACCCAAAAGAAGUCACCCGUAGUUCGCUCUGAUCAGCUCAUUCCCUAUCAACUGAUGAUUCGAUAAUUUAUUCCACCUCGAAACCAUUUCUCAAUCCCAGUGUUUCAUUUUUUUUAAAGAUUACUAUGAUCCCAGUGUUUCAUUACGAAUCUCGUCAAAUUCCACUACUAUAGUCUAGUCUUGGAGUUUAUAGCACCUUCCGUGAAACUUCGUCUGUGUGCAUCAUAUCAGUUUAUCGUCUUUGGCACCAGUAGUAUCGGCAGAUUACAAGUGGCUGCUGCACUAUCUUAUAGUACUAUUUUGAGUUGCAAAAACCGACCAUAUUUCUCGCAGUCCGAUGUCAGCUAUGACCUAUGGAACACGAUAACGUUGUCCAACAAACAGAGAUGAUAUUUGUAAGCAUGCAUGAACCAAACUAAGCACAUGCUGACUGCUACGCAACGUACUAGGAUAUUCGUUUGUGUAGGUUUGGACGUUGUUGGUUGACGUCUUGGUCGAUCUUUCCCACCAACUUUAUUAUCGUGGGAAAUGGACUCCCAACUAGUACAAUUGUGAGUUUGAUGAUAGCACUAUGAGGACGUCUCCUACGGGCUGCUUAAACGGACCCGAAUUUAUCUUCGAUUCAGUCCGGGCAGGUGUCCGGCUGUUUUUCUGGUAGUGCACUAGGGAUGUGAAAACGGGAUCCAUUUGUCUCAUUUAUUCUCUAUUAUUUUAUACAUGUCGACAUGUACAAAAUGGAGAAUAAAUGGGACAAAUGUAUCCGGUAUUCGCAUCCUUACAGUGCAUCCUACGGGGCUGCUUAUUUGACCUGCCAUUUCAUUUUUUUUCCCGGAUCUGGGUAUUUCUCUCAAAACAACGGAACAAACUUAAAUAAAUGGUAAGAAUAGUAAAAAUAUCUGAAAAUUGAAACACAUACGAGAAUAAAUUCAUAGUUUUAAAAUUGAAUAAUUUAAAAUCUUAUAGAUUUAUUACAACCAAAUAAAAGUCCUACUGGUUCCCUACGAAAGUCCACAUAUGCUCAACCAAAAUAUCUUGAAGUCGAGUGUGAGUGUCGCGAUCACGCAACUCAUGCUGAAACUAGAGGAACUCCUAAAAUGUUGCCAGUCCUGGUUGGGGCUCAACAUUCUGACCCUGGAACUCCCAAUGAUCAUCAUGCAUCCUUUAUGAUCAUGUUGUGCAUGAUCACAGAAGCUAUCAUCACAUCACAUAAUCUCCAGGCUCCAUGUCUUAGCAGGGUGUGAACAAUAGCCCAUCGAGAUUGGAGAGCACUGAAAGCACGCUCCACAUCCUUCCUAUCACUCUCAUGUUUUUUGGCCAACCAAACCCUCUUCUCUCCAUGAGGAUUGGAGAUGGUCUUCACAAAUGUAGACCACUGGGGAUAGAUACCAUCAGCUACGUAGUAUGCCUUGGUGUAUUCGUGGCCAUUGAUAUGAUCGCUCACCUCCGGGGAGUUGCCUGCCGCGAGUCUGCCGAACACCGGAGAGUGUUGAACCACGUUGAUAUCAUUGUGAGAGCCUGCCAUGCCAAAAAAAGAGUGCCAACUCCAGAGAUCAUGUGAUGACACUGCUUCAAGAAUGACCAUGCAUUUUCCAACAUGCCCCUUGUACUGCCUCUGCCAAGCAAAUGGGCAGUUCUUCCACUCUCAUUGCAUACAAUCUAUGCUUCCAAGCAUCCUAGGAAAACCUCUGCCCUCGUUGAUCGACAACAUCCGCUGAGUGUUGGGAACAGUUGGUUCUCUCAAGUACUCCGGGCCAAAAAUUUGAACCACAGCUUCAUAAAACUUAUACAUUGAAUCCAGGCAUACAGAUUCACGCAUGCAUAUGUAUUCAUCUACCAGAUCACCGGCUACUCCACAUGCAAUCAUCUGAAUUGCUGCGGUGUAUUUUUUAUAAGAGGAGAAGCCAAACUUACCACAUGCAUCUGGUUUGCACUUAAAAAAAAUCAUCGUACUCCAUCACUCUAACUCGAAUGCGGUUGAAUAGAUCUCUCUCAUCCGGAAACGGCGCCGGAAUAGCUUGGCACUGUACACUAGAUUGGUGAGAUCGAAGUAGUCCUUGUAAAGCUAGGCAUAGCCACCUUCUCUGUCCUGAUCCAGGGCGGGAUGAUGGCCCGGCAUGGACCCUCUGAAAACUACCCCGUCGCCGCUCGCUUCGUCACGGACAAGUUUUUUUUCGCGAAAACGCAAAAGUUUUGCGUUUCGAUGCAUUGAUAGAAAAGAAAAGAUUUACAAGCUCAAGAAAGAGCUGAUACCACUCAAACAACACAACAUGGUAGAGUAUAACGUCUACAACUCGCUAACACAAGCGAAGAAUGCACUCCACAUCCGGCUAGUCCGAAGACAGACACUACUGAAAUCUGAACUACAAAGCAAAAGAGAGCCUGUCCUAACCCGAGUAUCAUCGCCGCGUCUCAACCGCCGCCUAUCACGUCCAAAGGCCGACAGCUUUGCCUGAAUUUCCCUUGUCGACGCACCAUCCACCCUUGAUGCCUAAGGAUGGCAGGUAGAUGGCGGGACUUGGUCGAUCCCGAUAAAAUACAUCUCCUUGUACUCACCGGUGACAGCGUCCAUAGCGCCUCUGAGCAUCAGCCUAGGAAAACGUCGUGCGCCGGAGAAGAAAACAAGAGCCCCGUGUCUCCAAGCGCGAUGCUCCCAACAGAGGGACGACGUCAAGGACGCCGCCAUCACGCCGAUCCAACUGAAUUUUGGCUUUCACCCGGAGACAUCCACCAGUCCGAGAGAGGUAGGGAGAUGUUGACAUGCUUCAACAACACCUCCAAGGAGGAGAACGACGCCCACGGGCGCCAUCGUCGCCGGCACCGAUCAAAGAUGGGCAAGACUUCCAUCCGCUAUGUCGCCCACCUCCCACCAUACUCGCCAGAUUGAAGAAGGCGGCAUUGUCCUUCGCACUGCCCCCUCCGCAGCCCCUCGCCAACGUAGCCAGCUCUCGUGGUCCAACCAACCAGCGUCCACAGCCUGUCAGACGCCGGACACCCACGCGCGGUCGGCCAAACCGUCCGCAGCGCUCCAAGCACGCUCCCAGGACCAACCAUCCUCACCAGCCUCGCUGUUCACCGAGAGUCUCGACGCCUCCAGUGAAGCCCACUCCAGCACAUCCACUCCGGCCAAACACGAUCAAAAGGCGCAAAUUUUUCCAUGGUGUGGCCACACCACCGCUGCCAAGAGGAGCAGCGCGCAAGCCUGCCCGUGGUCUGCGCGCAGCCAUUGCUCAGAGGAGCAGUGCGAGCAUGAUUGCCGGCGAGGGGCCGGAUGCCGCCAUGAGGCGCAGCCCGAACCCCGCCAUGCCCUCACCGCUGUGGCAACUGGCCGCCGCCGCUGCUCAGGCGCAGCGCAAGCACGAGCCCAGGCCAGAGGCCGGCGGCCGCCGCUCAGGGCGCAGCGCGAGCCCCGCCGUGGCCUCACCGUCGUGGCCACCAGGUCGCCUCCGCUAAUGAGGGCGGGGAAGUCAGGAGGGGAGGAGGGUGGAGGAGGGGACCUGUUUGGACACCCACCGGGCCGCGCCGCUGACACCCGCACGAACGCUCGCCGGGGAGAAGGGUCGCCACCGCCAUGGCCGACCUCGUGCCGGAAGGGCAUCUGGCUGCCAGCUCACAGCCGCGAGGGAGAAACACCACCACCCACGAGCAGCAGCCGCGUCCUUGCCCAAGCACCGUAGCAACCUCACCCAGGCGCCGCCGCAGCAGCAGCCGAGCACCACGGCGAACCCCAAGGGCCGCCGCCCAACAGAUCCAGAGAAGCCGUGCGAGAGAACCCCGCCACCGCUGUCGGCCACGCGGGCUUUUUUCGCCCGGUGACGUCCUCCGGCAGCGGCGCGGUGGGAGGAAGGAGGACGAGCGGCAGCGGACGCUAGGGUUUCGGGUCACCCCGGAGUCGCCCUUGGGCGUGGGCAACGCGAGGGAGAGGGGUCUCGUGGCCGUUCAGACAAUACCCCUUCAAGGUUUAAUUCAUGAUGAUCAUAAGCAGUAGAAAGUUUCUCGUGCAAGGUUUAAUCCCACAGUAAACGAACUACAGGCGAAAAGGUCAUUUAGGGGAAAGCUUGAUCUGAAUAAUUUUUGCAGCCGACCAAGGUGUCUGCCUCCUAGUACCAGUCCAGUAACAAUAGUCGUCAGACAUGGUCACAACAUUGCAGGACAGAACCAAAAAAAGACCGCAACAUUACAAACCAUAGGAAACAAGUAAGUUGUGUGUUCAUCAUUCCACAUUCUUACAAAACAAACAUAACGCCGAAAUUAUUCAUGACUCCACUACAUUACAGAUCAUAGGAACAACUACAUUAUUUAGUGAUGAUGAGUUGCAGGCAUGACAUUAUGCAUCCUCUGUAAAGCGGAUGCAAGGGUAAGUAGAGCACCUUUUUCACUCGCAAACCUGGCGAUGAAGAGUCAUUUCUUCACCUCUCGCCCUCGAGUCCUCAGGAGCCUGUUUUUUUUCAAGGUUAUCAAAUGGUUGAAGCAGUAAGCAGCAAAUGUAUGUUUUAGAUGCCAGCAAAUGUAUGUACUGGCUCUUAAAUUUCAGAUCCUUACUUGGUACCAUUUUCCAAACAGAAAAUAGAGAAAAAGUAGAGUUGUAGUAGUACCUUUAUGUCAUCGCCAGAUGUUAACAUAUAUUUUUUUAGGAAUAUAUGCUCAAUCUUUUGCCAGUUUGGAUGUCCGAUAAUCCGAAAAGACUUUGUGAAGGCUGCAUUGCAGUUGCAAGACACCACGUUAAGCUCCUCAAUGGACCUGGAUAUUCAAGCAUGAAAUGAUGAUCAGUUUCUUGAGCGACGUGUGGUAUUCCAUGUUAUCAGGCAGGGCGUCCCAGCUGCAGUCACUGAACCAGAGCACUUGAAGACGCAGGAAAUUCUCAAGUUUAGGAGCAGGUCCAAGUUAAGUACAGCCCCAGAAGAAGAUCCUUUCCAGCCCCUUCGGGCCGCCGUUCUGUGUGCCCUGCCCACCAUCCAGCUUGGAUACCUCGAACCAUGGUAGCCCCAGAUUUCAAGAGAUUGAAGCUGCGCCGGAGGACAGAGGCCCUCCAUUACCUGCGCCUCUGCUUUGACGUUUGGUCUGCGGCUCUCACGCUCCCAGCAUAGUUCCAGGUCUGCCAGCCGUUCCUUGGCAUCUAGAUUGGCUUCCAGAGCUUCCUCCUUGCUUUCAACAUUGUGGAGACCGAAGAUAUAGAGCCUGCCGCGGAGGUCAUUUCGGUCCCUCAGCUGCUUGGUCCGGUAUUCUUCUUCCUUGGUCACUGUGAACUCUAGUCUGUCGUCUGAAUCCCCCAUUAGGUGCAGCAAGUCGCCGGCUGCUCUUGCCAACAUGAAAGUAGAAGGAAAAUGCAUCACUGAUUAUGCACAUGGUAAUCCCAGAAGCAAAAAUCAUACAUAGGAUGUUGGGGUAUAUUAUUAUUACCUAGGCCGGCGGGUGCGGGAGGUGGCGGAAUCCGGCCGGCGAUUGGAGCAGGUCGUGGCCGCCGGCUGGCUGAAGACGUGGGAAUCGAUUCCGCGGCCGGGGACUCAGGAUGUGUUCAGCGGAUUGAGGCCGAACCCCCAGCUGAGCUUCUGCAGGUAUCUAUGGUAUGGUGGCCACCGUAAACGAGAAAUUGAGCUAAUCGAUGCUUGCUGAUCCACACGACACGAGUAGAACCACCGUCCACACUGCUAGCUGACAACAAGAGAGUCACGAUCGUUGGAGAGAGAGGGCGGUUCUGUCGACACCAACCGAAAAUUUAAUAGUGCAGUGGCCAGAGCGAACCAACCUGUGGUUGGAUGGUUAGAGGGACUGUGGUAUCCUCAGCCCACCAGGGUUCAAAUCCUGGUGCUCGCAUUUAUUUCUGGAUUUACUUCAGGAUUUCCGGCGAUGCGCAUUCAGUGGGAGGAGACGUUCCUGUCGAUGACGAGGUGCCUACGGCGACUUCGUAAAUCUCAAGAUGACAUGCCGGCUUAGUCUUUCAGAGGUGCUCAUAGGGGUAGGUUAUGCGUGUGUGCGUUCAUAGGGGUGAGUAUAUGCACGUGUAUAUGAGCGUUUGUGUCUGUACUGAUGUUCAAAAAAAAGAAUUGCUUUAGAAAAUAUUAUAAAAAUAAAAAUGCAGGGAAAAAGAGGACACGGGUGUUUGAACUUGUAUGGCGUCGUUAAUUGUGCGAAAAUCUGGUUGUUCCAAUUUAAAUUUGGUUAUUCAGAUAUCUACGUAAUUAUUUUCACCGGAACAUUAACAGUGUCUGAAGCCUACUGGCCAGCAAAGUAUGUUAUCUUCCUCAACGCGUAGGCGUAGCUGAUCCAAAUGAUGAAAACCAACAUGGAUAUACUAUUUUCUCCGUCCCACAAUCCAUCAACAAAUAGCCGAGCAAUCAUCCAACGAAGCCACUCCAUAUACAUGAAAUGGCGGGAAUAUCGAUAUAAGUUCUCAAUGUUAGUUUCAAAUUUUUUUUUAACAAAGACGCAAACAACGGAUUAAGUGUGGUGGCUGACAAGGUAGUACGAGCUACUUAGAAUUUUUUUUUUGAGGGAACGAGCUACUUAGAUGGUUUCCGGUUAAUGCUGAAACAUCCUAAAUAGGGUCAUAAUUUUAUAUGGAGAAAAAUGCCAAUGGCCUCCUAAAUUGGGCCUAGGGCUUCACCCAAUGACCACUUUACAGUUUUCUUUUUUUGCAAAAACCUUCCGGUAUUCAGUAAUUGAGCAUCAGUUUUGCAUGUGGUUGUAUUAUAUCUUGAACUUUGCACUUGGCUAUGUAAUUUUUUUUCGUUUUGUUUUUUUGCAGAACUAAGUAAAACAAAUAUGGUAUACAUAUUUUGUUUCUGCUCUCAUCCAAUUUGUUUUCUGGAAUGUACUCCUACUCCCUCCAUCCAAGAGGGAAUACAUGAUAUAGUUAAUUUAUUUUCUUGAUAUCUAUGAGUGGUAUUUUUCUAAAAAAUUCCGUUGCAACGCGGGUGGUAUCCACUUCGGUACAACCCCCUCACAAAACGUAUAAAGGACAAUAUAGUCAUUUCACAUACCGUACACAGUUUUGUAUGUACGUAUUUAUGUAUGGCGGGUGUCAGUACAGUGUUACUUGCACCUUGUUUUUUUUUAAUCUUCAAAAAUAACGGCCGCACUAUGAUGUGGGGCUCGAACCUACAUGCUGCUCCUUCAAUACUCACCUAGACGGAGGGAGUACCAAAGUACUUGUUUCCUUCUUCCUAUUGAACGAUCAUGCUAAUAAAAAAGCAUGCAUCUCUAGUCUGAUUUUUUUUCAGUUUGUCGGUUUUUCUUUGGGGUUUUUUCAUUCUCCAUUUUUUUCCUUAUGUCUUUCUAUUUUUGUUUCCUUUUCUUAAUUUGCAGACCUUUUAAAAUGGAAAACAAUAUAGAUCACCUGUUGGAUCGCAGCUCCGCGUCCGCUGCCUUUUCUACACGUCACGUGCCUCAUGGCCAGCAACACUAGGUUUUUACAACUGGCCCGUUGUUGCAAUCAACGUCUGUUGCAGGAUCUGGAUCCUUGAGAGAAGUUGCCUCUCGUGUUUCUCCCAAGCUCUCGUCGGUUCCUCUUCGCAUGACUCCAACUACCUCGAGCUCCAUCGAGUCCCCGUCUCCCUGUGCUGCUCUGACUGUAGCCACCGGGUGUUUGGGUUGGACAGAAGGCUUCCUGUGAGAGCACGUUAUUUUUCUCGACAUCCUUCAAAUGGCCCAAAAAAAAUUUCACCAGUUUCCAUGACAAAUUCAAGGCACCAUUCAAAGUUGUUUGAGUUUUCAACAAUUCUUGCAUUUUCUAGAGUUCAAACCUGGCAUGGAUGCCUCAUAUAUCCAUGUCAGACUGCUGCAAGAAGUUAGGGUCUUUUAUCCAUGUCAAAAAAAUAACAGUUGAGAGGAGUGUGCUAAACUAGGCGUGCGCAAAACAAAAGAGAGAGAGUUUAGACCAAUAACCAGCAAAUCACAGAUCACAUAUCCAGUGUAUCGACUCAGCAAGAGAAAGCCAAUAGUCAACAAAAGCCGGUAACUCCCCUAAUAAGCCAAAAUAGUGUCUUUUAACACAACAAGAGCAACAGCUCCUAAUUGUAAACAUCACAGAAGGAGCUUAUUGUGUAUCAAUAUGGUAAAGAUUUCGUUUAUGGUGGAAUAAGUCAAAACAAACAUGGCACAUAAUAGUUUUGAGUCAGUUUUUAGUGAAAUGAAUAUCUAUCUACCACAAGACCAUCACAAUCACAAGGCUGGUUCCAACCACCACCGCCACAAACAGCAUCAUGGCCAUCUCAAGGCACAGGGAGAAAAGAAAGAGAUCAAGGACUUACCAGAACUAAGGAAGAGGCAACCGGCACCGCCCAGUUGUGGCCAAACCGUUGUCAUCAUGCUGUACGGAAGCAGGCGAUAGGACAUGGGCGACCCGACCCGUCCGGCGAGCAAAGGUGAUGCACGGCCACCCUGUCUAUGCACACAACAAGUUUUGAUUUAGUGAAAUGAAUUUCUAUCUAGUGCAUAUGUGCAUGCUUUCUCUACUGCCUAUGUACGCAUCCAAUUCAACAGGGAAAAGGAAACAUUUUUUGCAAGAAAAAAGAUGGAGGAGAGAGAGCUCACCGGCAGCACCUUUGUCGCGCAGUAAGAUCUUAGACACGUGGCUGCCGGCAGCAGGAUCUUGGAACAGUGCUGCUGGCAGUAGGAGUUUGGAGACGUUUCCUCCUGCAGCAUCUCGGGGAGGUGGUCACUGAAAACUGCCGGCAGCAGCUCCUGGAGGACUGCCGGCAGCAGUAGCGGCCCGGGCAGGCUCACCACCAAUCUCUCACUCCUUGCCUCAUAGCUGCCAUUCCUGCGAUGCGGUGAGCUCCUCCCACCGGCUGCGAUGGUCACCAACGCACCCGUCGAUCUGAGUAAUCCUGCAAGAUUUAAGAAAUAAGUUCAUGGCAUUCUUAGUAAAAGUUAGCACUAGUACCCCCACAAAUGGGUGAUAAAAUGAUUAAAACAACUAGUUCCAGAAUCAUACUACAAUUUAUAUUCAUGACAUGUAAUCUAUAGUUGCGAACCUGUUGGGGAACGUAGUAAUUUCAAAAAAAAUUCCUACGUACACGCAAGAUCAUGGUGAUGGCAUAGCAACUCGCGGGUCGGGAUGACGGCGAGAGGACCUCGGGGUGGCGGCAUGGACCGUGAGCCGUGGCACUACGUCCCGAAGGGGCGGUGCAAUGGCGGUGUGCUGGUCAGUGCAGCCGUGAGGACGGCCUCGGGUAGUGGCCGGGACCGCGUGCCACAGUGCAAUGGCCCAAAAAAGAAAAUACCGGGCAAGCAACCGGCGGAGAGAAAACCGAUCUUGAGAUCGGAAAAACUCACCAGGGCAGCCAUUCACGGAUCAACGGAUGAACCCUGCUAUGGGUCAUGCGCCCCACGGAAGAGAUCAUGAUGAUCGACCUUCCUAGGGGUGGCGCGGUGCGGAAGCGUGCGGCGGUUAGGUCUAGGAACUUGCGGCUGAUACCAUGUUAGAAGAGAUAGAGAGGAGAAUGGUGGAAUAUGAUGGAUGUUGUAUUGAGCCUCUCGGGCAGUUCAUAUAGAGUACAAGGCUUAGUGGGCAAGAAGCCUUUUCUAGAGAUAAGGCAGGAAAUGAUUACAAAUCAUAAUCUACCAUAUACAGAUGUAUGCCUAUAAUCUAACAGAAACCAUGCAUUUAGAAGUCAAUAACCGAAUUUUGUUACUCUUGAGAUGAUUGCAAUAAGUAAGCAUCUGGUAGAUGAGUAAGAGUAACAAUUAUGGGAAUAACCUACUGAUUAUAUAUCAGGAACCCAACAUGCUUUCCAUCUUUUGUUCAUCAUGGUCACCGCUUCCAAAAAGUAGUGACGGAUGUUGUCGCCAGAUGUCCAACCCUUCAUUAUCCAUGUUGUAACCCGAGCUGCUUAGUGCGCGACCAUCAUAUAAAACGAUUGCAACCCUGGUCACCCUUUUGUUACCAAUGUUGUAUGUUGCUAUUUUUCAGACUCCUACUUCAUUAAUCGUAUCAAUAUGAGUAUAUGACAGGCUUAAUGCUCGGUCAUGUGUAUCCUUUUGAUUUCGAGGCAUGAUGGCACAUGAAAAAGAAAGAGCCAUGAUGGAGAUGUGGCAGGGCUUAUGAGGAGAUGACACACAAUGCGAGCCAUGGUGGAACAAAAACAGCAAUACGGGUUGGGCCUCCGGUUAGUAGGUUAGUCCCAAAAAUGAUAUAAAUGUGUAAAAGAAAGCCCAUAAACAUUCAAAAAGGUAACAUAAUAGUAUGGAACAAUCAAAAAUUAUAGAUACGUUGGAGACGUAUCACACCACAGAGGCCAGAUCGUGUCCCACUACUGGCACGAACACAAACCCACUCACGCACUACCUAGACCACAUACAGGCGCGGUGACCAUGCACACGCGCACUCACACUAUGUAUGAUAACAUCUCCAUCAAGUUAGACAUAUACAGCUUGGGCCUAUUAAUUUUGGAGACCACCACAGUUGAGAAAAAUUGUUCCAACAACGAACCAUCCACAACGCAAUUUAUAAAAAGUGUAAGAGAAAUUAUUACUUGAUUCUUGAAAGAAUGGAGUAUAUAUAUAGAAUAGAAUAGAAGCUUAUGAUACAGUUGGUUUAUAUUAUCUCUUCUGAUUCUGUAUAUAGGUACGUGAUAACUGGACGGAUGAGCACAUAGUUUUCACGUUUUUCUAAAGGUCGGGCCGGGCCGGCCCGAAGCCCGACGGGCUUUUACGUGUUCGGGCCGGGCUUGGGUCCAGAAAACAGGCCCGAUGGCCGGGCCGGGCCCGGGCCUAGGUUUUUUGCAUCGGGCUUGGCUAGGCCCAGGCCGAGAUAUGGCCAGGUAUACAUAGUGUUGAUGUGGAUCGCCUUGAGCAGAUAAAAGUAUGCGUCAAAAUUGGUCGCUCCUGCACCCGCGUGCGUCACCGCACGUGCACAGCCGCCACGCCUCCGUACGGAUUGCAGCGGCGUUUGCGUUGCGGGUGCACCAAACCAAAACAAAACGCGCAUGCUUCUCUGGCUGAUUGCCAGCCUAGCUAUUGCUAGAUAGCUCAGUCCGUCCUCCGCAAAAUCCCGUCUUUUUCUUUUCUUUUUGUUUGUUUGUUUCCAUGAGCGCAUCCACAUUGGUUGGAAACCAAAACUCACAGCUGCUCAAGGUGGAUUGGAUUGAAAGAGGCCCUCCUACUUGACUGCCGUCGUUCCUCCUCCCUCGGCAACUAAUCCCGGCCGCAACGCCCCGACACUCUAAUCUAACCUAAUCUAAUCAGCGCCAUGCCACGCCUCAACCGCAAAGCAAAGCCGUCUGGGCCGCACUCACCGCCAGCGGACGAGCGACGACCAUCUUGCUCUCCGACCUCCUGCCGCACAUCGCCGGCCGGCUGCUUCUCUAACACCUUGGAUUUCUCUCCUCUCCUCUCCGCUUCUGCCUCUCACCGCCGGCCUAACAUGCAUCUCCUCUUCUCUCCGCGUCGCCGAAGUCCUAAGUCACGCGCACCCCGCACGCGGAUGGAUGUCUCUUCCUGGUAUAUAUAGAGAGACAUAGAGCUGACCUUAGAAGAAGAAGAAAAAGAAGAAAAAGAAGAACUGAGGCAUGCAUGCCGGAGAGGAAGAGGGUGACGCGGAUCACUGAGGUGGCGCAAGCCAAACCCUUGAUGGCUGGCCGGCGGGGAUCCAUAUGACGUUUUAAUGAUGUGAUGAUGAUGAUGAUCCCUUUUCACAAAAAACGUGGCACAGUUUCAUACACCUUUUACUUGAAAGCUGGUGGGCAUUCCAAGGGCUACAUGGAGGGUUUCUCUGGUCACGGGGGCGGCAGCUACCUAACAGCUAGCAAGGUUCAGUGACAAAAUUGACACUAUUUUAAAGCUAGCAGGUUCGGGUGGCAAAAUUGACACAUGUGGCUACAAUUCGUAAGCCAUUCCAAUGUUAUUAUUAUUUUGACUGGAUUAUUCCACAAGGCAUGGUAACUGUUUGAUAACUUUUCAAUGGAUUUUAAAUUUUUUGCACAACAUAACAGCAUCUCACGCAGAAUAACGGAUGAAAUUUUUAAUGUUGAGCGUGCCAGGCAGAUGAACAAUAUUACCCAGUGGGUGGCAACAUUUUAUGAUUGUAACCACCAUAAGACAUGAUCUCUUCCUUCUUAUUAUACUUAGCACAAGACAUGAACGAUUAUUUGUCGAACCUUUGAUUUUCUAAAGGCCAACGUCCUCCCUUCUUUCUUUCUAUCAGAAAAUCCAAGGCCCUCACAUACAAAGCCGUGUACUUUCUACUAUACUGUACACCCAUGCAAUCACCUAGGAUUUUUUUAGAAAAGGAGGAGGACCCCGGCCUCUGCAUUUGGACGAUGCAUGCAACCAUUUUUAUUAAAAAUUCACACAAGACCUUACAAAGUCAUACAACAGUAAGACUAAAGCCACCGUCUAGGCAACAUCUGUCGCUACUCCUAUACAGUUGAUGAAGGGAUGCUGAUAUUUUGAGCCUAAUACACAGACCUCACAGCCAAACCUACCAUCUAAGACCUGAGGUCCCAACCAGGACGUCUGCCGGGUAUGGGGCACCCACCAGUCCGGCGCACUUCUCAACCAGGACGCCUGCCGGGUAUGAGGCCGCCGCAGCCACCUGCCACCAAUCCAUCUCCAGUGUUGUACUGUUGCAUCAAUCUUGCCCGGUCUAGCUGCCGUCGACGCCACCACGAUGCCAGACAGCGCCACCUCCCUGCGCAAGUCCAUCUCCGCGCAUCAGACGUCGGCGCCAUGCCGCCGAGAUCCGCCGCCAGCAAUGUGUAAGCUGAAACACCGCUCCACCAAAAAGCCUUCCACUGGUCCCUCGGUCCGUAUACACCUUCACGAAUGACGCCCCCAAGAGGGAAACGACACCAUAGAGUCGCCGUCAUUUGAUCUACUGAUCUAGGGUUUCCCCCGGAGGUAGCAUAGUGUGGCCUUGAACUUCUCCACGGCGAUGCCUUCAAGAAGGGAACGAUGCAAACAGCGCCGCCACCGCCGGCCUUGAUAGCUAGCCGAGAGCAGGUUGAAAGCUUGGUAGCUAGCCGAGAGCAGUUUGAAUGACUAAAGUUUAAUGUGAAAGCAAAUAUGGGUAGUGUGCUUGACAAAGUAAAGGUUGGAUGUCUCAUGCCCCUUGAAUACAAGUACCUACGCCAUGGUUACUCAACUUGGGACACAAAGCAAAUUUAAGUUAUCUAUAAUGGUAUCAUUAAGAGCCUCAACUGGGGUACCUCUUGUCCCAUGAUAUGGAUCAAGCCCACAACAAAACAACAAGACAAACAAACAAAUGAACAAUCUCAACACCCUUUUUAUUUACCACUUGGUGUUGGCUUUUUAUUGUGGGGUGUAUCAUAGAUGGUUCACCAUAGCAUGUAAGUAAAUUUCCACCAUGAAUGAUGCAUGGCUUAGAUUAGUGGCCCAGGCUUCUCUCUAACCAUUUAUACAAACUUAUUUAAACUCACUUUAUUUCCACAUUAUUUCACCAUGAUACGCAUCCAUAAACAAAAGUACAUGAUAUCAACUAAAUAAAUGAAGGAGCAUGUUGAAAGCUUUGCAUGUGACAGCACAUAUGGGAUAUAACUCCCAACCUCAAACAUUUUAUCAAGCCACUAGCAUCAUAAUUUUAAUCACAAUGGGUCAUAUUUAUUUCAUACUAUGAUAAUAAAACGUGCAUCAAGUUCGUGAGAGCUAUUUUAACCAACUUUUACCAUUACAAUGAAUAACAUAAUCAUUUUCACUCAGAGGUAUAGAUAACACAAAUAUCAUGAUGAACAUACUUGGGAUAGCAUAAAGCUAAUAGGUAGAUAUGGUGGACUCACUGGAAAAACUUUGGUUGAAGGUGUUAGAAACAAGUUUUUACUUGUUGGGAUUUUUGGGCUAGCAAAAGGGAGAAAGUUGACCAUCUAGAUGCAUGCAUGAGUGUCCAUAGAACUAACCAAUUCAUGUCAAACAAAGUAAAAUAACAUACAUCAUCAAAACAUGAAUAAGAGAUAGCUCAUGAUAAAGCAUUUGUAAAUUAUUACUCAUUAACAAGCUCAUGAAUCAUGCAACUAUAUGUGUCAUUAAAAAUCAACUUAGGCAUCCCUUUUCCCAAUAUGAUAAAAUCAUGCAACAUAUGUCAACCCAUAUUUCCAGUAGCUCUUUCUCAUAUAAAAAUGAUAGUGUGGUGGUCUCACAAAAAAAAAAUCAAAGCAAAAACAAACAAAAAGACGCUCCAAGUUUAUGCGAUAAAGUGCAUUGAUCGAAAAACAGAAGUUAGACGUGUGCAAACCGAGAGUGUGUAGGUUUAGUGGGGAUGUUUUCACAUCCCCAAGCUUAUGGUUUUCACCAUCCUUGGAUAACUCUUGGUGCAUCUCCUCCAAUCCCUGUGAAAAAAACUUCAAAACACCGUUUCUCCCAUUUCUUUUCCGUGGGGUGACAUUAGUAGUGAUAAACAAAUAGGUUUCUUGCUGCAAAUAAUCCUUGGACAAAAAUGCAUGAGGAUGUCCAGAAAGUAUAUAAUGUUGUAUGCCUACUCAUAAACUCAAUUGGAUCACAAAGAUUCAACUUAAAAGUUCAAAAUAUGCAUAAAACAAUAUGGGACAUAAUCUGUCCAGAAAAACAGCAGCAGCAAAACAUAUUUUUCUGCCCUACUUAUACUUGUCGAAAAAUUCUGAAAACAAUCAGGCAUACAGAGGAUGAAAAGUUGCAACUUCAGUUAAAAUUUCAGCUCAUUCGGAGUUACAAAAUAAAAAUUAAAAAUCAAACCGUGCACAGACUUUGUGCAGGAAUAACAUCUCCGAAUACAAAUAGCAACUUUUUCAAACCAAAAUGGGCAAAACCUGGCACUUUAUUAAAAACUAGCGUGUAGUGCGCGGCAGCACGCCGCGCCAUACUGAUUGUUGUGCGACGAUUUUCCUUUUGAAGUUCUUAAAACUUUGUUUAGUACUUGGUUGAUAACAUAGUCAUUCACACAUAUAGAUAAGGUUCAUUGAGUCAACACAGGCAGAGUGCAACGUUUCUACUUUCCACUUAGAUUUGAGAUCCUCGGCUAAGUUUGUUUCUUUGAUACAGUGGUAGAGAACUGGCACCGCGCUUUAUUUGCAUGUUUCAGUGAAGUUUUGUAUAUAUUGAGAAAAGGCUCAUGUGUUGGUUAUCCAUUUGUUGGUUUCUUCAGGAAUGCAAUUCUUGCCUACAGGUGUACAUGCAAACAUAGAUUGAUGACUAUAAGUAGGGUCUGUUGGUAACUUGGUAAUGCAUAACUCAUCGCCCAUAGUAAGCCUACACACUUAUAAGCCAAUUACACCAUCGUCGCCGGUUGGGGUGCGGAGAGGGGAGAUGGAGAGGCGGCGCGCUGGCGCCUAGGAUAAGGAGUGAGGAAUCGAUCGGGAGUGGUGGCUAGGGUAGGAGGGGAUUGCUGGAGGCUACGUACUGUGAAGAAAGAAGGGCACAUACAUGAGCAAAGACUUGAGAUGUUGGGUUGUGCGUGGGCCGGGCUUUUACGCAGGCAUUUGUCCAUAUGCAUCUAAUCUGUCUGAUCGAUUACUUUGGUUAACUAAAGUACAAGACCGGAAUUCCUAAAUUAAUUUUGGUUCUUACAAAGUGCAGACUGAACUAAGAAUUGGAAUUUUGGAUUCGGUCUUUUCGAAUUCGGUCCCGGUUUUUUCUGUUCGGUAGUUGGGUGCUAGGUUAAUAUGCCCAUCCCUACAUGCAUGUAUAGCCACUCAAUAAAAACAGAACAGUUUUUCAAACCAUGCAAGCAGUCACUGUUCACGUAACAUGCAAUUAACUGAGAUCUGCUAUAUAUAUCACCCAUCAAUAUACGUGCUGGGAUUUCAUCAAUUAUUAGUCCAAGGCUAUUAACUCUACUCUCUUCGGACAGUAGGUUUGUAAGGAGAAAUAGCAAUAAACCAAUGAAAAAAUAGGAGCUUCGCAGAAGUAUCGAUUUAGUGCCUGUUCGGUUUCUCUCCGCUCCCGCGACUCAGAUCCCGGAGCGGAGCAGGCUGUUGCAGCUUUUUAUGGAGCAGCUCAAACCGAGCUCUGCAGCUCCGUGGAGAACGGAGUGGAGAGAUUCCAAACGGGGCCUUACUCUUAGAAAAAAUGACGUUGUAUUCUUUUACAUUCAGAAAUUAGCUGCUCUGAAUACACAUACCAAGUGUUCAACAUGCAACUGCUUACAUAGACUGAGAAUACACAUAUACUGCAUACCACACAACCACAACCAUGCAUGAGUGUUGUCAACACCCGGAUCAGUAGCAACCGUCACCAGACCUCAUUGGCCAUAAAUAAAAUAUAGAAAAAAUUCUGCAUAGUCCACCCAUUGUUGCAUGCACACUUGUCAUUUUUUUGCUAAACCAACCCACCAAUUAAUGAUGAGAAUCCUCAUACAGAUGCAUCCCUACAAAUACUAAAUCAAACUUGAACGAAAGGAAGUCACUAACACCAAUUGUCAUGCAACCAGCCAAUAUGAGAAAAGAAACACAGGUCAAGAAACCAUUAGUCAGUGGGAAUCAAAUCAAAGCAUAUGCAGUCAUUAAUUGACUCUCAAGAGGACUCGCAUGCAGAUGAAUGA